GACGAACGCUGGCGGCGUGCUUAACACAUGCAAGUCGAACGGAAAGGCCCUGCUUUUGUGGGGUGCUCGAGUGGCGAACGGGUGAGUAACACGUGAGUAACCUGCCCUUGACUUUGGGAUAACUUCAGGAAACUGGGGCUAAUACCGGAUAGGAGCUCCUGCUGCAUGGUGGGGGUUGGAAAGUUUCGGCGGUUGGGGAUGGACUCGCGGCUUAUCAGCUUGUUGGUGGGGUGGUGGCUUACCAAGGCUUUGACGGGUAGCCGGCCUGAGCGGGUGACCGGCCAGAUUGGGAGUGAGAGAGGGACGGGACUCCAACCGGAGGGAGCAGGGGGGAAUGUUGAGCGAUGGGCGGGAGGCUGAUGCAGGAAGGGCGGGUGCGGGGUGACGGCCUGCGGGUGGGAAACCGAUUUCGCCUGUGACGAAGCGAGUGUGACGGUAGUGGGUGAAGAAGCACCGGCUAACUACGUG
rnacentral:rRNA from 1 species